CGCGCCUGCGUGCUCCUGCUUGUGCAUUUCGAACUCGGGCUGGCGGCUUCCCCGGCUGUCCGGUGGUGGGAGGUCAGGGUUCUGCGGUGCCCUUUGUCGACCCCGCCGUGCGAGGCAGGGAAGGUCAGGAUUGCGAAGAGCCAAGUUCGAGCUCCGAUAACUCUCCGAGCCCAAAGAGGGUGGGGCGGGGAGGCGUGACUGCCCGUGAUGAUGGUGAGGGGAGAGAGGGAGUGCUGCACCUCUGGGGAAAACAAGUCAGCUCUGUCGUGGAGCUAGUGCACGCGUUCAGAGGGCCUUUUGCAACUAUUCUGCUUCCAACCCGCCUGGAUUCCAGCCGGUCCGACCUAUCGCACUGCUACAGCCCUAGACACUUUUUGCCCCAAGCUGUGCAAGUGUCUCUUCCCUGGGCUUGCCUCGCCUAUUCUCAGUGCUGCGGACCUAAUGAAUUAAGGUCCGUCCUCUGCUGAGAAGCCCAGACAGCAUCUCGUGUUUGAGAUCCCACUUCCUUCACACGGAGUCGCGUUCCCCGCCGCUCCGCCCCAAAGCCGCCUGGGUUCCAGUUAGCCUUGCCGAAGACUUGCUCUGCCUGGCGUGUACUUCCUCUCAAAUGUUAAUCUAUGAAGCCUCACCCUCAAACCCCGAGACAUUUAUUACAACAUCAUUUCUCAUGGAACAAGAAGGAACAUGGACUUUCAUGGUGCAAGCCUUCCUGAUGUUUCCCGGGUUUCAAUGGCCCAGGCAGAUAAAGGAAACUCAGCAAGGUCAGAAGAAAGAAGAACAGAUCUGUCCUUAAGUGGGAAAAAUAACCGUGUCCCAAGUAUACAGAAGGGGAACAAAUGAAGUAUUUCUGAUGCUGAAAUUGGUGUGAAUGCCAUGAAAGCCGAGAUGCAGGUGGAAAUUCAGAGAUAAUUUUGUCAUCCUGAAAGGCAAUUACUUGCUCCAGUGCCACAUUUCCAGAUCCAGGGUCUGAGGACAAAUUUAUCUCCCGUAAUCACGUGAAGCAAUGUAAGUGCCGCACACUUAUUAGAGCAAGAAAAAAACAAUCUUAAGGUUGCUUCUGAAAAUAUUCAGAAAUUAGCCUCUUUAAGCCGUGCCCAAGAGCGUGGUGGGCGAGCCUUGGUCAGUGAACUGGCACCGUCGCUUUAACUCUAACCUUUAACUCUAACCAUUAACUCUGGGAGGUAAAUUUUGACCUUGGUCAGUUACUGUUAGGAAGGAAACUUAGAUCGGUGGCAACAUCCCCAGAAACAGAAAUCCACGCUGGCCGUGCUGGCCGGCACGCGCCUGUUCUGACUUCACUUGAAAGUGAAUGUCCGUUUGGUACAAAAUUGCAGUCCAGCCGCUGUCUGAGCCC